rnacentral:rRNA from 1 species
GACGAACGCUGGCGGCGUGCUUAACACAUGCAAGUCGAGCGGUAAGGCCCUUUCGGGGGUACACGAGCGGCGAACGGGUGAGUAACACGUGGGUGACCUGCCUUUAGCUCUGGGAUAAGCCUGGGAAACCGGGUCUAAUACCGGAUAUGACUCCGCGGCGCAUGUUGUGGGGUGGAAAGCCUUGUGCGGCUGGAGAUGGGCCCGCGGCCUAUCAGCUUGUUGGUGGGGUGAUGGCCUACCAAGGCGACGACGGGUAGCCGGCCUGAGAGGCGACCGGCCACACUGGGACUGAGACACGGCCCAGACUCCUACGGGAGGCAGCAGUGGGGAAUCUUGCGCAAUGGGCGAAAGCCUGACGCAGCGACGCCGCGUGAGGGAUGACGGCC